rnacentral:rRNA from 1 species
AAGGAAUAUUGGGCAAUGGAGGCAACUCUGACCCAGCCAUCCCGCGUGAAGGAUUAAGGCCCUAUGGGUUGUAAACUUCUUUUGUUUGGGAAGAAAUCAGGACAUUUAUGUGCUGUUGACGGUACCUUACGAAUAAGCACCGGCUAACCCCGUGCCAGCAGCCGCGGUAAUACGGAGGGUGCAAGCGUUAUCCGGAAUCACUGGGUUUAAAGGGUGCGUAGGCGGUUUGAUAAGUCAGAGGUGAAAGCUAGCAGCUUAACUGUUAAAUUGCCUUUGAUACUGUCAGACUUGAAUCAGGUUGAGGUAGGCGGAAUGUGACAUGUAGCGGUGAAAUGCAUAGAUAUGUCAUAGAACACCAAUUGCGUAGGCAGCUUGCUGGGCUUGAAUUGACGCUGAGGCACGAAAGCGUGGGGAUCAAAC